GUCCCCCACUGGUCUUCUGAGCAGACUUGACGCAGUUUCAUCUCAUUCCUGAGGUAUCCUGAGCCCCUCAGUGCCAUACUUCUGCGUGAGUGCUGUGAACUGGAGCAAAUGGGUUGAAAAUGGCCAGAAGUUGCUCUUGGUCUCUUUAGAUCUUUUAUGACAAAGAAAAAAAAUUGAAUUUCUGACCAGUUAAAAUCCAUUUGAGCCAGUUUAAGCUAAUUAUGCAGAACUGGAGCCCGAGGUCGGUAAAUCCAGGAAGACGGCUGAAUACUAUGCUGACUCAAGUACAGACAAGGAGCCAGAUGAGAAAACCAAGGCUCCAAGAGCUUCUGUGACUUGUCCAAGACCAUGCAGUUAGUGCACAGUGAGGCACAGAAUCAGUUGUAGAAGCACUUCAGGGAAUUCGGAUACUAUUUUGUGGCCUGGCAAGAUCAGCAGCCUUACUAUCUUAGUCCCUGCCAGUCAUCAGCUUCUGGUUUCCCUGUUAUCCUGCUGCUCCCUAGAAUGCAGCUAUUAAGUGGCCUAAGAGCCAGCACCUUCACGGAGUAGCAAAGAGGAAAGUCCAUUUGAGGACAGAGCGAGAAGACGAUGGUUAUCCACAAGCCAGAAAAAGAAGCCUCAUCAGAAAUCCUGAUACCCUGAGUUUGGGUUUUCAAGCCCCUACAACUUCGAGACAAUGAAUAUCUUCUUUACAGUCUAUGAUAUCUUGUUUGGUAGACCAAGGAGACUAAUCUAUUACUUAAUAUUGGGAACAUUACUUAGAAGCUAAUGAUCUUCGAAAAUGGUAAAGUUAUUUAUGUUUGCUACUUUCAUUCUUCCUUUCCUCUGUUGAGCCAUUUAAAACAAUGAUACUGGCACUCAUUUCUCUUUACCUUUCAGUAUUUGAUUUCUAACAGAUGGCUAAGGUCUGACAAACACUGUCUUGAUAAUACACUACAGAGCGUUAGAGACAGACCCAUAUUUCCAUCCAAAGAGAGUAUUCUAAGCUUGGGUGGUGGCAAUGGAGCACUCUGACCUGUGAAGCACCAUUCUUUGAAGGCUUCUUUUGUGAUCUUCUUUAGAUCACAGUUUGGAACUGAGUUACAGACUAGAUCAUAUCUCCUCAUUCUCUCCAUUUGAUCUUUCUUCCCUCAUUAAUUCCAAAGUAUGCAAGCUAUAUGCUUUCUAGUGUUUUUCCCCCUUCACAGCCAUUGUCUAGGCACCAAAAAUAGAGAUGGAAAGAGACAGGUUUAAUCCAAAGCACCAGUUUCCAUUACCUUAAGCUUCCUCAAUGAUUUUUCUGAUGAGAUGAAAUUUCUUAUACUUGGUCUCAGGCCCAAGGUAUAUGCAAUACGUCAAUGAAAUUGAUUGCGACACAUUGAAGUGAGUGCCUGGGAACUAUGAGUUCCUUAACU
ensembl:lincRNA 5330434G04Rik RIKEN cDNA 5330434G04 gene